rnacentral:tRNA from 1 species
GGACAUAGCUCAGUGGUAGAGCUCCUGCCUUGCAUACAUGAGGCCCUGAGUUCAGUUCCCAGGACCA